rnacentral:rRNA from 1 species
GACAGAGGGUGCAAACGCUGUUCGGAUUUACUGGGCGUAAAGCGCGUGUAGGCGGCUUCGUAAGUUGGAUGUGAAAUCCCACGGCUCAACCGUGGACGUGCAUCCAAAACUACGUCGCUGGAGUCUCGGAGAGGAAGGUGGAAUGCUUGGUGUAGCGGUGAAAUGCGCAGAUAUCAGGAAGAACACCCGUGGCGAAGGCGGCUCUCUGGAACGCAACUGACGCUGAGACGCGAAAGCGUGGGGAGCAAACAGG